rnacentral:rRNA from 1 species
AACGUAGGAGACGAACGUUAUCCGGAGUUACUGGGCGUAAAGGGCGUGCAGGCGGUCUGAUAAGUUCGGCGUGAAAUAUUCCGGCUUAACCGGGAUAGGUCGUCGGAGACUGUCGGACUAGAGGGUGAUAGAGGCGUGUGGAAUUCCGGGUGUAGUGGUGAAAUGCGUAGAGAUCGGGAGGAACACCAGUGGCGAAGGCGACUUCCUGGCCUGUUCUUGACGCUGAGGCGCGAAAGCUAGGGGAGCAAACGGG